rnacentral:rRNA from 1 species
CCCUUAGAUGUUCUGGGCCGCACGCGUGCUACACUGAGUGGAUCAGCGGGUCAGGUUGCGCGAAAGCGUUUCCUAAUCUUUAAAUCCGCUCGUGAUGGGGAUUGACGGUUGCAAUUUUCUGUCAUGAACGAGGAAUACCUUGUAAGCGCGGGUCAUCAUCCCGCGCUGAAUACGUCCCUGCCCUUUGUACACACCGCCCGUCGCUCCUACCGAUUGAGUGGUCCGGUGAAUGUUUUGGACUGGCGUCAGAAGCGGUUCGCUCCUGACACUACGAAAUUUUGUAAACCUUAUCGCUUAGAGGAAGGAAAAGUCGUAACA